AGCAUUUGUAAAUUCUGAACGCUGAUUGGCUAAGAGCCGUGUUGAUAUAACUCCAUGUCAACACGGGAAAUUUUCCGCCGCUUGUAACACGGAAAUUGUUCUUAUUCUUCGGGCUUUUGACAUUGCUAUAUUAUAAAACAAAUAUAAAACAUUUUCUCCGUAUUGAUAUAUAGUUAUAUCAACACUCGUGGAAGUUGGGAAAACUCGAAAUUGUGUGAAAACACUCCGCCCUUCGGGCGUCAUGUUUCCACACAAUUUCUCGUUUUCCCAAUUUCCACUCGUGUUGAUAUAACUGUAUAUCA